rnacentral:hammerhead_ribozyme from 1 species
UAGCGAAACCGCGCCCCUCUUCAGGGGCCGGUCGUCCGGGGGUGGUGCCCCGGGCCUGAUGAGCAGCCAGCC